rnacentral:rRNA from 1 species
UACGGAGGAUGCGAGCGUUAUCCGGAUUUAUUGGGUUUAAAGGGUGCGUAGGUGGCUGUUUAAGUCAGCGGUGAAAGUUUGUGGCUCAACCAUAAAAUUGCCGUUGAAACUGGAUAGCUUGAGUAUGUUUGAAGUAGGCGGAAUGCGUGGUGUAGCGGUGAAAUGCUUAGAUAUCACGCAGAACUCCGAUUGCGAAGGCAGCUUACUAAACCAUAACUGACACUGAAGCACGAAAGCGUGGGGAUCGAACAGGAUUAGAUACCCU